ACCUGAGUACUUGCAGACUAGAACUAUACAUGUGAGCACCACCAGGACGUAGACGGCAAACAGAGUGAGGAAAUCCAUGUCUCACCUGGUAGCAUCACAGAGAGGAAACAACAGGUGUUUAAGCAUCCAGGGUGGUGGGCUGUGCUCGCAUCGCUGCUGCUGAGCCAAGAGAGAGAUGGACACAUGAGGUUUCAGUGCUGAAAUUAAUGGAAAGUCUGGUCUUUCGACGUAUAACAAGGCGUCACAGGACAGCUGUUGGAUCUGGUUGCGGACAUGGCCCAGCACUCAUAUUACAGCUCACAGCGCUGCAGGGAGGAGCAUUACUCAGGAGCUGUCCACACUCAUCUAUGGAUGCUGUUU